rnacentral:lncRNA from 1 species
UUUUUUUUUUUUUUUUUUAAAAAACACCUCUUUAAGAGGUUCAGGGGCGGGAGGAGGCGGAGCUGGUUGUGACACUGACCGGCACCUGCUGCUGAUUUGUGAGUGGCGGCCCCCCAUGGCAGCUCCCCUCGUCCUCUGUCACGCGGCCUUACCUAGACUCGCUUUGCCAAACUUUUGCCUUAAGCUAAAUUUAAAGGAAAAAAGCCCAAAACAGACAAAGAAAGCAGGAUCUCUUUUCUACCAGACUGUUUAUUUUCGGCUACAGGUGAAGGGGGGGGGGCAGGGCCAGGGAGCAGAGAGGCACCUGUGCCCUGCUCCCAGGUGUCCUGGCAGAGGGGCAGGGGGACAGAUUUAGACCUAAAACCAGCUACUUGUUCUUUUAUUUCUGCUGAAACCGAGACUGACCAUCUGCAGAGCCCCUUCUCUCAGGCUCUGGUGGGAACCCCCCACCCCACCAUACCUGCAGAGGUACCUGUGCGCUCUGUUGGGGUAGACCUGCUGGGGCUGCUUCUCUGGUCUCUCUUCUGUCAGCCUUAACUUGCCUGGGGUAAAUCUGGGAGGAGAGAGGGAGGGUUGAGCCUCAGUGGUUCUCGCCAUCUCAGUCCUCAGCACCCAGCCACGGAUGCGUCCGUCGGCACAUCUAAGUGUUUUAUAGCUUUUCCUUUUCUGUCCACACUGGCCCCAAAUGCCUGGAGGGCCAGCCACCUUGAGCCAGAUUUAGUCUGAAGGUAAGGAAGGCAGGCAACUUUCCUACUGGCUCCUUCUCAGGGGAUGCCCCUCCCAGGUACUCUGGGAGAAGCUGCAGACAGGUUCUGGGCACCAGUGUUGGAGGUGGGGGGAAGCUGCCCAGGGGGGCACCCAGGAUAGGCGGUCCUGGAUCUGGGGAGAGGCCAGAAAGGCCAUCACAGGUGCCCCACUGUGAAGCAGACCAGGGAGUUGGCGGGGGUUACAUGGGGACAUAGUUGACAGGCAUUGGGGCCGCUCCAGAGGCUGGUCGACAGCGUGGCUAGUCCAGAGGGCCACUAUCCCUCGGUUCCAGGGCCCUGCAGAGCCCUAGGAUGGUCCUGAGCGACACUAAGCUUUCUUAGUAAUGUCUGCCUUGAUGCCUGCUUGCAGAUGGGGGUUACCCCACGGAAGCCCCCUUCCUCAAACCUGCUGAACCCCACAGCUACUUUACCCCGCCCUGCAUUUGAACUAAUAAUACCCAAGUACAGAAAAUCAUCAGAAAAGAAAAAUAAUUCAUUUCUGCUGCAGAUGAGCCACUUGUAGGAGUCCCAGUGACAACGUGGGAGGACGUGGGUCACCUUGAUCUGCUCCUUUAACCACGUGGCAUUGUAACUUAGUCAAGGGGUGCUUAACGUCCCAUCUGUCUCCCAGCCCUGCUCCUGAUAGCAGGUCCACAGCUAUCUUGGAACAACCAGAUCAGAAACAUGUCUGUGUCGCCCGUGUGCUGCAUGGGGAACCCCUUUGUCAGGCCCAAGAUUUUCCCCUGGAAACUGCCCGUUCCCCUUGGUGUGUACGGAGACCCCGUCACCCAGAGAGGCCAUAGCCUCAAGUGAGGGGGGAUGAUGGGUCCCAGCUCUACCUCCCAAGGAAGGGCCUGGGAGGGGCUAGGCUGCCGGCGUCCUGCUGCUGUGGACAGGACCUGGCCUCCUAAUGGAGCGGCCCUUCUCUGCACUCAGGUCUUUCUUGCACUAAAAAAAGGAGGAAGGGCCCUGGGUGAGGGGUCGGAGGCUGGAGUUCAGGUUCUGGGCGGGGUCAUCACUAAGGGGUUCUUACUGCCCUAGGGGUGGGAGCAGGAGAGGACAGUAACGAGUGGUCCUGAGCUGUUGUGGGCAGAGUCCCCCAAACACGUACCUGCUGAGUGUGAGCAAGCCCUCUUGCCAGGGACCAGUGCUAUGCCCACUAGGAGGGGGCAAAGCUACUCUGGCUGCCUCCCCCCGCCUACUGCAUGCCUGGGCCCCAGCUCACCUUGCUCCUUGACUCAUCCCGCCCCUCCUGCACCCCUUUCUCUCUGACCCUCCUGGCCCUUCUGGAGACAGGGCUGGAAAGGCCCUGGAGAGGCCGCAGGUCUGGCCCAGGACACUGGGCUUAGCCUGGGUCUGGCCCCUGGGCCUCCUCCCUGUCAGGAGCACAGACCCUGGGCUUCUCACCUGGGUCCCCAAUCCCCUGGUGUCCCUCUCCCCUGGUGUGGACACACUCCUCCAGCAAUAAGGACUAUCCGUGGUCAUGGAGAGUACUGUGAAAACAAACCAAUGCACUUACCAGGAGGCACAAGACUCUUGAAGAAUAUGUAAAGUUAAAUUUUUUAAAAAAAGAAACAACAAAUCUUCACAAAGAGAAAUAAAAUGUAAUUUUAAAGUA